rnacentral:rRNA from 1 species
GGAUUAAGGCAGAGUGUGACGGAGCACGCCGCGUGAGUGAUGAAGGUGUUUCGGAUCGUAAAGCUCUGUUGUUAGGGAAGAACAAGUACCGUACGAAUAGGGCGGUACCUUGACGGUACCUAACCAGAAAGCCACGGCUAACUACGUGCCAGCAGCCGCGGUAAUACGUAGGUGGCAAGCUUGUCCGGAAUUAUUGGGCGUAAAGGGCUCGCAGGCGGUUUCUUAAGUCUGAUGUGAAAGCCCCCGGCUCAACCGGGGAGGGUCAUUGGAAACUGGGGAACUUGAGUGCAGAAGAGGAGAGUGGAAUUCCACGUGUAGCUGGUGAAAUGCGUAGAGAUGUGGAGGAACACCAGUGGCGAAGGCGAGUCUCUGGUCUGUAACUGACGCUGAGGAGCGAAAGCGUGGGGAGCGUUCAGGAUUAGAUACCCUGGUAGUCCACGCCGUAAACGAUGAGUGCUAAGUGUUAGGGGGUUUCCGCCCCUUAGUGCUGCAGCUAACGCAUUAAG